rnacentral:misc_RNA from 1 species
GAAUUGUAACCCAAAUUCAAUGCGAUCUAAAUAUCGGAGAUACAGAAAGUGGCCUGCUUCAAACAGCUUUCGUCGCCAUUUACAUGAUCUGCGCCCCGUAUUUGACUAUUUGGCUACUUGGGUGAUCGAUACUCUCGAAGGCUUAUCAUGGCUGCCGGUAUUUUCGUCUGGAGCCUGACAACAUUACUUGGCUCUUACGUGACAAAUUUCUGGGCUUUCCUGGUCAUGAGGAGCCUUGUAGGUGUGGGAGAAGCUUCCUACUCAACCAUAGCACCUACCAUCAUUUCAGACUUAUUUGUUGGCGAUACUCGCUCAAAAUUUCUAGCCCUCUUCUAUUUCGCAACUCCGGUCGGGAGUGGACUAGGUUACAUCGUUGGCUCAGAAGCAUCUAGAGUGAUGGGAUCGUGGCAUUGGGGCCUUCGAGUCACGCCAGUUUUCGGGGCCGUAGCCGUGCUUCUGAUUUUGCUGGUCAUCCAGGAUCCUCCACGCGGCGAAUCUGAAGGCGCCCAUCUUUCAGCCACGAGCUGGUGGGACGACAUUAAAUCACUCGGCAAAAACAAAAGCUUUGUGAUGUCCACAGCAGCUUACACAGCGGUGGCCUUCGUCGCUAGAGCUCUGGCAUGGUGGGGUCCCAAGUUUAUCGCAUUGGGUUUGGCCACUCAACAAGGUCACCAGGAUGUUUCAUUGGAUGACGUAUCGUACAUUUUCGGCUUGAUUGCCAUGAUCGCUGGUUUGCUGGGCGUGCCCCUUGGAUCUUUCCUCGGCCAAAAAUUGCGCGUCCGCUAUCAGCGGGCCGAUCCCAUCGUUUUCGGUAUGGGUAUGCUGUUUUCCACUCCCCUCGUGCUAGCUGCGUUGUUUAUCGCCGGAUGGAACACCACCACUUGCUUUGUGGUCGUCUUCUUUGGUCAAGUCCUGCUCAAUUUGAAUUGGGCAAUUGUGGCUGAUAUCCUGUUGUAGGCUAUACGGUAAUCCCAACGCGACGAUCAACCGCUGAAGCGUUUCAAAUUCUAUUUUCACACGGACUGGGUGACGCCGGCUCUCCUUAUUUGAUUGGCCAGAUCUCCGAAAUUCUGAAGAAAUCCUUUUCGACUCCGGCUGCAUUCGUCGAAGGCGCCAUGGUUCUAAACUCGACUGUUUCGUCAAUUGUGAGCGACUUUGUUACGAGUUUACCUGAUUAGAAUGUCAGCGCAAACUGUUCCAGUUCAGGAACGUCAUCUAUAGAUCUCACCACUGUUGAAGGCGACUUCAAAGCCCUACAGUGGGCCAUGUCUAUCACGAUAGUCGUGGAAGUUCUCGGUGCUCUCUUCUUUUUCGGAACAGCAUGGUAUGAAUUCUUUUCAUUAAGAGAAAUC